AGGCCAGUAAACUAUUCUCUAGGAAGUGCCCCAGAGUUCCACAUUCUUUUCCUUAACUGAUGUUUUAUAAUGUCCUUUCACUAACAGGAAAUGAAAUCUACUUUAAAAACAGAAGCUGCCUACUCAUGAGUUUUAAAAAUAGAUAUAACAGUUCAACUCCAGGAUAAAGGAGGAAUUAAAGAAGUGCUAUUUAUGGCACUGUAUACCGAGGCUUGGACGCCUGGAGAAACAUCAGGAAAGAGUCAGGUUCUUAUACAUCCCAGUGGAAACAACCGGAUCCCAGACAUACAAAGCCCAGUUCCACUGCACCCUCACCUGCUUGAGGGGUAACUGUAAGGCACCAGAUCAAGAGGAGAAGACACUAAGACACUGCGCCAAAUGAUCUCCAGCUAGAGAAGAACAUCAGGCUUGGAGGAAGGCAAAGCAGAGGAAUGACGAUAGAUAGUUCUGCCUAGCUGGAGCUUUGAGAGCAAGAUCAUGAAGGCAAAAGAGGAGCAUGAUGGGAGAGAAAUGUGGCUGGGCAAGGCAGAACAUUCCAGAAGAGCAUGUGACAGUAAGAAAAGGGCUGUACCCAAGAACCUUUAUCUGUAGACUAUGUUUCCUUACCUCAAGCUUCUAAGUGUAGCUGUUUCUUCAUGCGGUGUCUACAAUGAAGCUUAGAGAAGGACUCGGUGGAAGCUUCCAGAGUGUCUACAGAAUGGAAGGACACCUGUUCCGUUAGUUAUUCCACACUGGCCACAUAGUACUAUCAGCUAGAUUGUUACCAUCUGUCUCCUGGGAGAGGAAAAAAAAAUCAAAUAGCCCAUGAAAUGUUUAAUUAUAGACUUCAAUAAUAAUAUGUUAACGUAACUAUUAGAAUAUUUGUCUUAAAAAAAAUCAGUGUUUAAAUA